GAUCUAAGAUGGUGGUGAAUAUGCAUGGACAAGCUGUGUUGGAAAACAUGAACAUCUCCAGUGAGGAAACCACAGAAAUUGAGAUGGAGGACACAACCCUUACAUCUGUGACAGUCCCAACCACAGAAAAUGAAAUGGUGUGUAACAUCAAACACCUGUCUGCAAAUAGAGUGUGCUGGGAUUGUCUACCAAGUCAUAGGC